rnacentral:pre_miRNA from 1 species
AGCCUUCCCUAUCCGUGCUGAGAUUUCGCCACACACCAGACCACAGAAGCUGAUGAGACUUCCAAGAUAAGUGAAACG